UUGCAUUGUUGUCAAGUGUCAAUCCGAUGCGAAAAAUGUUUGAAAAACUAAACUGUCUGACAGGGUAGUGUCACGUUCCAAAGUGUAAACUAAAGUGUACUCCAUAGUUUACAUAUCGCAAGGUUCUUACCGAUUGAACUUUGCUAUUUGUACACUGAUUUUUGACACGUUCAUUUACAAUUGCAUUGUUGUCAACUGUCAAUUGGAUGGAAAAACUGUUUGAAAUUUAAAUUGUCUAAUAGGGUAAUGUUACGUAGCAAAGUGUAAACUAAAGUAUACACCAUAACGUAUAUAUAGCAAG
rnacentral:lncRNA from 1 species